rnacentral:lncRNA from 1 species
CUGGGCAACGUGGCAAAACCCUGUCUCUACUAAAUAUACAAAAAAAUUAGCCAGGCGUGGUGGCACAUGCUUGUAGUCCCCAGCUACUCAGGAGGCUGAGGCAUGAGAAUUGCCUGAGCCUGGGAGGCAGAAGUUGCAGUGAGCCGAGAUCACCCCCACUAUACUCCAGCCUAAUGACAGAGUGACACUCUGUCUCAAAAAAUUAAAUUAGCCAGGCAUGGUAGCACACCCCAAUAGUCUCAGCUACUCAUGAGGCUGAGUAGGGAGGACUGCUUCAACCUGGGAAGUCAAGGUUGCAGUAAGCCGUGAUCAUGCCACUUUAUUCUAGUUUGAGUGACACAGUGAGACCCUGUCAAGAAAAAAUAAUAAUAACCUGUGUUCUCAUGGAGAGUUGUCUAUUACCAGAUGAAUGAAUCUCAGGUUUUUUUAGGGGUAACAAGUCUGGUACCCCAGAUGAGACCCAGGGUUGAGCCCUGACUUGACCUCCCUUAUAGGCUCCUGGCAGGCAAAGCAGUGGGAUGUGGAAGCAUGCGUGGGCCAACUCACCUCAGUUGCCAAGAAGGAGACUAGAGAAGGGCCUUGGGACCCCUGACCUGGUGUCUAGUGUAGUCCACUGACCAGCACCACAAGACCUCUCUGGGAGAGUAGAAGCGGCUGCCUAGAGCCCAGACCUUUUGCUCGGUGCUGCUUUGAAGCAGCAGCUCCAUGAACUACUAAAAGAGUGGUCUGGGUUUUGAUCAUUAGGAUUCUGGGUUGUCAGGAUUAGGACCUAGGUCAAGGGAUCCAGGAUUGUUGAGAAAAAGAAGUUCCUUCUUUCAGGUCUGGGAGACUGAGAGACAUCGCCAUCGUUUUAACAAGGGGAAUCCCCAACAAAAAGACAAGGAUGCUUGUCUUCAGGCUUUGUUCCCUACGUGGUAUAACUGUAGGGCUCAAUAUUCUUACUUGUCUGUGGCCUGAAUGAAUAUGAAGUCUGGAUUCUUCUACCCUUAGUCUGUGGCAACCCCUAAAAUAUCAGGCUUUGUUUUGCAGCAGUCACAGAAGGACUGCUGUUAGUUUGAUGAGGAGACCCAAGUUUCAAAGGGGGCAGUUUUGGUGGGAUCAUGAUCCCUGGAACCAGAAUGCAGUGAUACAAAGGUUACAUGAACAGUGUGUGUGCUUUCUCUGAGGAAACACCUCACUCACUUGAUUGAUUUACCUACCUCCCCACCACCUGAGCUGGAUCCAGAACUACUUCAUUGUCUCCAUGAGAUCUCCUGGGAGGCUGCCCGGACCGAACAUGAUCCAGGGAAAGGAAAUCCCUGUUAUCCUCUCAGCUUCCCAGGACCUCUGGAUGGCUUUGCAUGGUGGCCAGCAAAGAGGACCAGAAGUAUUCAAGCUGAGUUGUGGGAUUUGUGUCAUCAUUAAUCUCCAGAGUUUGGAAGCCCCUCAGACUGUGUGCAGAGACCGUAGAAUGUCGUGAACUAGGUCUUGGAAGGAGAGCUUGUUAGGGUGCCUCCUCUGGCAAUGGAAACUGCAUAUCCACCCAUGACCAAAAAGCAAAUGAUAUAUUACUGUAAUACAGCCUGGCUCCAGUAUUCCCUAGAUCAGAAGAGAUGGUCUGAAUAUGGGUCACUUACUGCAACUCUCCAAUUGGACUUUUUUUGCAAGAAACAUGGUAAAUGGGAAGAAAUGCCCUAUAUGCAAUGUUUUAUGGCCCUCUAUCAAAACCCUGCCUUGCAGAUGAAAUGCAGAAUAUGUAAAUUGGCCAAAGGGAACUAUAUUGCCAAUUCUAGAAGCCUCUGGAGAGGAAGCAUCAGUCAUGUGGGGGCCUAUAGGGAAGGGAACAAGUAAGAAGAGUCCCUUUACUACCCCCUCCAAGAGAAGUGAGGCCCUCUAACUCUACUCGGGGACUGGAACCUUGGCCAAUACAGGGGCAUAGUCCACCUUCUUGGAAAUGGUACCCUCUGCACCUCCAGGGAAAAGCAAGGGCCCGUUCUGUAUUUGCCAGGCCCUCCAAACUCUGCAGAGCCAGCUGUGGCUCCUGCUAUGGCAAUAGCAGGCCCCUGUUGCACUCUUCUUUGCCAGGGAGCACCACUCAUAGUGGGAACGCAUAUAACCCUGGAGGGUGACUGUUGCCACUCAGAGCAUGCCUGUUGGAGAAAGAGGUUUUGCUCGGGUCUAUGUGUUUUUUAAAACUGUUGACUUGUAUAACUGGAAAUCCCAUAGUAAGGGCUUAUGGGUGAGCCCACGAGAGUUCGUAACUCUCAUAUGGAGAAUAUUCUCCACACAUAACCCUACCUGGCCAGGUGUGCAGACCGUAACAGCAACCCUGCUCACAGCAGAAGAUAAAUCUGCCACCAUGGCCAAAACUAAGGAGGAGGCAGACAAUAUGUGUGCUGAUAACCUGGUGACCUGGCCCGUUGAGGUGUCAGUCCCAAUAGCCAACCCAAACUGGGACCCCAGUGAUAACAAGAAUCAAGAGUGGCUUCAUCAUUAUAGGAAUAUGCUUCUCAGAGGUAUGAGGGAAGCAAGCCAGUCCCUGGUCAAUUGGGGAAAUCUCAGAGAAAUAGAACAAGGCCCUAAUGAAAAUCCAUCAGCAUUCCUAAAUUGAUAAUAAGAAUGCCUCCAGAAUUACACCCCUUGGGACCCAGAUGACCCAAAAGCUGAGUAGUACUUUAAUCUCACUUCAUCUCUCAGCCCCAGAUAUUCAGAGAAAACUCUAAAAAGUGGCAAUAAAUCCACAUACUCCCCCUUUCCAACUGGUAGACAUCUCCUUUAAGGUCUAUAGUAAAGAGAUGUGGCAUCUGAUGAAAAGGAAGACAAGAAGAUGCGGCAGCCCUACAGACUACUUCAGGAAGCCCAGGAAGAAGAUGGCAUGGAUUAGAAAAAUUUCAACUGUAGGUGCCUUUGCAACCUAUCCUGGGAGACCCUAAAACAUAUUUAGUUUUAGUGCCUAGAGAUUUUCACUCCUCUAACAUCUCUGGAUACAGUGUCCCUGGUCAACAUGAAGAAGUUACAGAAGAACGCUUUCUGAUCCUGGCCCCUAAAGAAUUUACUUGUGCUAAGUAAUAAAAUUCCUAUUGAUCAAAACCUGUGUCCUUGUGGAGAGUCAGAUAUCUGUUACUAUCCAGGUGAAUGAACCCUGGGUUUUUUGGGUGGUAACAGGACCUGAGGGGCUGCAGAGCCUACCUGUGUAAAGGAGAUAGCUACUACUCAACCCCAGCCCAUAGCUAGCACGUAAAAAUUCAGGCUUCGUGUUGACAGAGUAUCUAAAUGAUCUAGAAGUCCAGAAUUUUUAUUUUCAAAUAUCCGAGUUUUCAGCUGUUGGCAACUGUGGUCUUAUGAUACAUACUGGUUUUUGUCUAAGGUUCCUGGCUCACAACUCCCAUAGCCCUUGUUACAGUCUUUUGUUAUAAUGUUGGGUGUGUCAGGCCUUAGGAGCCAGCCUCUGGAAGCAGAAUCUCUCGACCUUCUCUAGUCCUCCUUUCACCUGCCCCAAGGCACCACUCUAAUCGCCCACCUUUG